UAAAAGACAACAUGCUGAUUAUUUGAAUAAAAAACCAAACUAAACUUAUUCUUUAAAUAUGUGAGUACCAGAAUUAAAAUUUGAAAUAACAUGUGAAUAACAAUCAGAUCUCUUCACGAUCCAGAACAUAUGUAACAUGAUAUAAUCCUUCUACACCAAACUCCAAAUUGGAACACAGUUUACUAAUCACAAAACUUAAAGAACAGAACACUUCAGGUACCCAGAGUCUGACAUCAGGCCAAAUCCUCAAGAAUACACACUCAUCUUUGCCAUACUUGAAUAAUCCGAAACCUUUAGUGGCACAUAUAUUUUUUUAAAAAAAGAAAAAUAUAGCAUGUUGAAAGUAAAUAGGAAACACAAGAGAUAACAACCGAUUACAACUUGGAUUCAAUCCAAUUUCCAUUCAAACACAUGCUUGCAAUCAAAUUGUUGUCCACAUUUGAGAUGUUACCUGAAAAUGAAGAAGGAAAACAAAAAAAGUGAAGGAUCAACAAUCAAUAGUAGCAAAACUGAGCUUUGAUCAAUUUACAUUAAGAGUACUGGCAUUUAUAAAAGGAAAUCAAUUACUGCUAUAAUCAAGUUAUUGAAUAAAAUUUUUCUAUAAUCAAGCUAGUGAAUAAAAUUAAAUCUAGUUAAUUUUUUUUACUAAUUAUACUAAUCAAUACUAAAUCUUCAAGUUGGUGCAAAUAUGUGGCACAUACCCAGCUUGCAAACUAAAGUGUGAAGACCUUUUGCUGAGAAUUUCUGUAAGCAUAUUCACUAGCGACUUUUCUAAUGGCACAUGCAGCAAACUCAAGAUACCAACAACAACCUUUACUUUAAUGAAAUGUUGAUCAAUUUCACCCUAUUUUAUUUUAUCACGUUGAACAAGAUUAUAAGCUAUAGCAGACUUCUUGUUGCAGUACAAGGAAGGUUUUCCUGGGUCAAACAAUCUAAAUUCCUCUAUUUAACUUUUGUAGCCAAAGAAGUCCACAAACACCUGGGUCAUUGCUCUAUAUUCUGUUUCUGCGCAGCUACAUUUUGUUUAUUGCUUUUCCAAGUAACUAAGUUCCUUCCCAUGAGUGUACAUUAAAGGGUCAUUCCGGCAGCAUAGCUGGUUUUUGAUCAGCCUCAUCAACAUUCUUGGUAUUAAAUUCUUUUAGUAGACAUAUUACUUUGCAGUGGGAUUUAAGUCCUAUGAUAUCAUCAGAAGCGCCAACAGAUAUGAGGAGUGGUACAAAUGGAUAGAUGGAAACUUCAUGACCACUCAUCAGAAGUUUUUUGUGCCAAAAACUUCAAUCAUUCCUGAAAUGGCAUUCAAUGUGGGGUGGCUGGAGAGCUAAAGAUUGAGAGGUUCAUUAAUUACAAAGGUCAUUUGUUAGUUACAAAUGUUUCUAAACGUACAUAGGAAGGCCUUCUCUAUUCUGACACUAUCAGAAGGUAUAAAUGGUUAUCUAGAGACAUUCAAGAAGCUACGAUUCAGGCAGUAGGAGGCAUCAUACACAUCGAGAGAGUAACCAGCUUAAUUCAAAUUGAUCUUCUUGAAAGAAGUAUGGUUGGAAGCAUAUAUUUGAUAUUCCUACCUUGUUGGAAAUCCGUCGAUGGGCCAGCAACUCUUGGAAACAGGCACAUGGAACUAACAUAUACGAGAUGGGUAAUCAUCUCGAAAAUUUAGAUCUGGUGAGAAGCUCCGGUGAGAACCAGUACGCGAGCUGUUGGAGGGGAGAGGCACACGAAACAGUGGGUGGCUCAAGAAAAGAUAACUCUGACAAGGCACAUGGGUUCUUAAAAAGUGGCAGAGGCACCGAGUAACUCUAAUUUAGAGACCCCACGUGAGACAGGGUUAUCAGCUCCUAUUUCUAAUGGGUGUGAAGUUUUAAAAAUAAAAUCUUUGAAGCCCAGAUAUUUUAG
rnacentral:lncRNA from 1 species